GAGCCCUUAAUUAUUUGGUGAGACUUGAGAGCUGACCAGCAGAGCAGAGGAGCCUUACUCUUCCUCACAUUUGGCGUCCUGCUGAGGAAGCUGCAGUUGAACCCGUCCCUGAAGGGAAUCAGCCAUGUGGUGGUGGAUGAGGUUCACGAGAGGGACAUUAUUAACACAGACCUGCUGCUGGCUCUACUGCGUUUGAGCUUAAAGGAGAACCCUGACCUACGAGUGGUGCUUAUGAGCGCUACUGGGGACAAGCAGAGGCUGUCCCAGUACUUUGGGGUCUACCAAAUUGUUAAAGUGCCUCAAUUCAUACACCCAGUGAGGGACAGAUACCUGGAGGAAGUGCUGAGAGAGAUGGGACGCCCAAGUCCAAAAGAGAGUGGAGACAGACAAGCAGGGAGGAAGAGAGGAUGUUACACCAGAUGUAGAUUUAGUAGCUGAUGUUAUCGAGCACAUUGACAGACGUGGUGAGCCAGGUGCAGUGUUGUGUUUCCUCCCUGGUUGGCAGGACAUCAGGGCUGUUCAAGAGAAACUGGAGGAGAGGCACCACUUCUCCUCAGGCUCACAGAUGAUCUUGCCAUUGCACUCUAGUUUAUCAGUAGCAGACCAGCAGGCAGUGUUCCAGCGCCCCCAAGUGACCCAGAGGAAGAUUGUUCUCACCACUAACAUUGCUGAGACCUCCAUCACCAUAUAUGACAUCGUCCAUGUGGUGGAUGCAGGAACUCAUAAAGAGCAGAAUUAUGACCCACGGACUAAGGUCUCUUGACUGGACACAGUUUGGAUAUCUCAUUCUAAUGUCAUUCAGAGAAAAGGGAGAGCAGG